rnacentral:lncRNA from 12 species
CCUUGUCCUGGGUGGAUGAUGAUGAUUCCUUUCACUCUUCAGCCUUGGUUCCCCUCAAAAGACUGGACGUAGGGCAAAUGUGACCCUGCUACUCCUCCACAUCCAGAAAACCAUUGCUCUGUCAAUUAUUCUUCACAUGAUGUUGCUUCGGCGCAGAACAGGUGCAGAGACCCAAACCUGAAGCUGGCCCCCAACUUUUCUCUGCUGUGUGGCCUCAGACAAGUUGCUUCACCUCUCUGAACUUCACUUGGCUCGUGGGAAAUAUGGGGAGAGCAUGAGAGUGUUUCCUUUGUUGGAUAUUAUCAGGAUACGAUGAAGUAACCCAUGUAAUAACCAACUCAGGUCUGGUACAGGAAGCAUUCAUAAACUGUGACAUUAAUAGUCUCACUUUUCAACCUCAGACUUGAUUUCUCUGAAUGCAACACCAAAGCUUCAGUUUCUCAGAAAGCCACCACCACAUGGACAACUUUCAUCAUCAGCUACAACCCAUGUCCCUCGUCCUCACACAGAGCUGCUAAUACAGUUCACCCACGACCUAUGACACUCACAGUCUUGCUUUGUUGUCUCCCUCCCCACGCAGGCUGGCAGCUUCUCAGAUUGUACUCUAUCCUAUGAGAGGCCGUCUAUCUGUCUUUGUGGCUCAUCAGGACCAUCCUUCAGGACCUGUGAUGUGCAGAGUGGGGGAGACAAGAACCACGUGGAAACCACAAAGGCUGCAGGCCCAUAAAAGCCCACCUGGCUGCCCAAUGAGCCUUGGAACCUUGGCGUAUGGCCUUCCGGCAGAGGACUAUUGCUCCAGCGAGGUCUCGCUCAGGCUGCUGUGAGUAUGAGGUGGCGUUCCCUGGGGCUGAUGGGAUGGAGAGGGCCAGAGCCCACCGAGGGCCUCCGGGGAAGCCUUCUAUAAACGACCUGCAGGCACAGUGUCCAGAGUUUACUGUUCUGUAUGUUCUAGAUCUGACUUCUUAGCUUCCUCUGAGAGUCUUCUCUCUUUGAAAACCAAACCCAGGACAUUUCCUCCCCAUAAAACUGCUCACAGCAACCAGCAACGGACUUUUACUGAGGUCACACAAAGGGGUGAAUGAAUCAUGAGCUGGUUCUCCCCCUUGGCAGCGUCCCAGCAUCCCUCUCUCCCUCCCCCGUCCUAGAGUAAGUACUGUGUUUUAACAUCACAUUGAUCAGUGGAGAGACAGGGACAAAGAAGAGCUCCCUCCUGUAGACAACACCUCUCACACAGCGUGGAAGGUGCCCCCACAGAGUGGCACAGAUGUGUAGAGAGCACAGAGGAUAGGGACCUGCUCACACUGAAAAGGGUAUAGUCAGGGAAGGCUUCCCGUAGGAGGAGAUGUCUGAGCAGUCCUCAGAAGGGCUUUGAGCCAGAAGGUGCAGGGGGGUAAGGAUUUGCAAGGCUAUUAAAGGCAGCCCAGCCCAAGGGGGCUGCUUGAAUAAAGGUUGCAGAGGCAGGAAGGCA